rnacentral:rRNA from 1 species
CACGGGCGCGUAACAGGUGUGCAAUCUGUCCAUAGUCGGGGAAUAGCCCAGCGAAAGUUGGAUUAAUGCUCCAUGUGAAUCGAAGCCGCAUGACUUUGAUUUGAAACGUAAGGACUAUGGGUGAGCACGCUUCUGAUUAGAUAGUUGGUGAGGUAACGGCUCACCAAGUCGACGAUCAGUAGGGGUUCUGAGAGGAAGGUCCCCCCACAUUGGAACUGAGACACGGUCCAAACUCCUACGGGAGGCAGCAGUGAGGAAUAUUGGUCAAUGGGCGAGAGCCUGAACCAGCCAAGUCGCGUAGAAGGAUGAAGGUUCUAUGGAUUGUAAACUUCUUUUGUCCGAGGGUAAAAAAGGCUACGUGUAGCUUCUUGCAAGUAUCGGACGAAUAAGCAUCGGCUAACUCCGUGCCAGCCGCAGC